CUUACAUGAUGAUAUCUCCAGAGUGGUUUCGCUUGACUAUGCUGAAUUCUUUCUGAUGUUAUGUUUCUCUUGGCUAUCUGAUCAG
rnacentral:snoRNA from 1 species